rnacentral:rRNA from 1 species
CGUACACUCCUACGGGAGGCAGCAGUGGGGAAUAUUGGACAAUGGGCGCAAGCCUGAUCCAGCCAUGCCGCGUGAGUGAUGAAGGCCCUAGGGUUGUAAAGCUCUUUCACCGGUGAAGAUAAUGACGGUAACCGGAGAAGAAGCCCCGGCUAACUUCGUGCCAGCAGCCGCGGUAAUACGAAGGGGGCUAGCGUUGUUCGGAUUUACUGGGCGUAAAGCGCACGUAGGCGGACUAUUAAGUCAGGGGUGAAAUCCCGGGGCUCAACCCCGGAACUGCCUUUGAUACUGGUAGUCUUGAGUUCGAGAGAGGUGAGUGGAAUUCCGAGUGUAGAGGUGAAAUUCGUAGAUAUUCGGAGGAACACCAGUGGCGAAGGCGGCUCACUGGCUCGAUACUGACGCUGAGGUGCGAAAGCGUGGGGAGCAAACAGGAUUAGAAACCCCAGUAGUCCC